rnacentral:rRNA from 1 species
CGGGAUUCCCCGAGUAGGGGCGACUGAAACGGGAUCUAGCCCAGCGCAUAACCUCGCGCCUCGAGCAGAGGCGUCGAGGGGUGUUGCGUAUCGGUGGAUCCGUCCCGCCCGCGCCGUACCGCCUAAGUUACCGUUUGAGUGCAGCUCCAAGGAGGGUGGAAGACCCGUGUGGCGGCGCCCGCCAGGGCUCAUACGGCGGGGGCGGAGGGAUCACUUCACCGGAGAGUCGGGUUGCUUAAUACUGCAGCCCUAAGAGAGGUGGUAAACUCCAUCUAAGGCUAAAUACUCCCACGAGUCCGAUAGCUAACAAGUACCGUGAGGGAAAGUUGAAAAGAACUUUGAAGAGAGAGUUCAUAAGAAUGUGAAGCCGCUAGGAGCUCAAACGGGUGGAACUGCGAAGGAUGAACGAGGGUAUUCACCUCGUCGGGGGGACGAGACCGGGUCGCUCCUAAUGGAUGGCGCCAAAAGCAAACCCAAGCGAGCGCAGGAGCGCCGGUCCCAUCGACACAAGUCUCUCCCGGCGGGCGUAUUUGUCCCCUCUAGUAGUAGCCACGCAGCGAGCCGUCUCCAUUUUGGGAGCCAGGAGGGCCCGCAGGUGGGCGAGCCUUAAAACUCGGCCGCCUCGUCCGGACUGGUACCCUCGGUCGGGAGGGGAAACCGGCGGGGUUUUGCCGCUCGAUGACUGGCUCCGGGGACGGCGCACUCCCAGGGGGCCUCCUUUCUUAGGAAGGCCCCUCGCUGCGAAGUAGCGGUGAUCCACCCGACCCGUCUUGAAACACGGACCAAGGAGUCUAACCUGUGCGCGAGUCUAAGGGUUCCUACGAGACCUGGAGGCGCAAUGAAAGUGAGCGAGCCCGACAGGGUCUCGGAGCUGGCCGAUCCCUGGCACGCGUGUCAGGGCGCAGGCCGAGGACUCGCCGCUCGGCGGCCGCCUGCUCCGGCCUCCUCGGCCCCCUCUCAUCCAUAACUCUUCGUCUUACGGGGCGAGGAGCGCGGGGAGAGGCGGUAAACCGGCGGGGGCUGUGCUGGGCGUGCCGCUGGCGAGUACCUUGAGAGCGCACACGUUGGGACCCGAAAGAUGGUGAACUAUGCCUGGCCAGGACGAAGCCAGAGGAAACUCUGGUGGAGGUCCGAACCAGUUCUGACGUGCAAAUCGAUUGUCAGAGCUGGGUAUAGGGGCGAAAGACUAAUCGAACCA